rnacentral:ncRNA from 2 species
AAAAAGAAUGUGAGCGAUGAUAUUGAAUCUUUAACUGGGCACUUGGAUUCAAAGGAGCGAGUAGUGCAACCGAACAUCCUAAUC